CCGGCGCACGGGUGAGUAACGCGUAUCCAACCUGCCCAUCACUUGGGAAUAACCUUGCGAAAGUAAGACUAAUACCCAAUGACGUCUCUAGAAGACAUCUGAAAGGGAUUAAAGAUUUAUCGGUGAUGGAUGGGGAUGCGUCUGAUUAGCUUGUUGGCGGGGUAACGGCCCACCAAGGCUACGAUCAGUAGGGGUUCUGAGAGGAAGGUCCCCCACAUUGGAACUGAGACACGGUCCAA
rnacentral:rRNA from 1 species